AGGGCACCACCAGGAGUGGAGCCUGCGGCUUAAUUUGACUCAACACGGGAAAACUCACCAGGUCCAGACACAAUAAGGAUUGACAGAUUGAGAGCUCUUUCUUGAUUUUGUGGGUGGUGGUGCAUGGCCGUUCUUAGUUGGUGGAGUGAUUUGUCUGCUUAAUUGCGAUAACGAACGAGACCUUAACCUGCUAACUAGGGCGCCCCGCGCUUGCGGGGGAGCUCUUCUUAGAGGGACCAUCGGUUUCAAGCCGAAGGAAGUUUGAGGCA
rnacentral:rRNA from 1 species